GGUCCUCCAAGGAUGGGGGUUUGGGGGUCAUCCAAGAAUGGGAGUCAUCCAAGGGUGGGGGGGUCGGGAAAUUUGGGGUCCUCCAGGAACGGGGGAUGCGGGGGUCCUCCAAGGGUGGUGACAUUAGGGACACUGGGGUCCUCCCAUGGUGCUGACCCCACUGAUUUGGGGCUGAUUUGGGGUUGUUUUGGGGAGCAGUUUUACCGUUGGUUCUUGAGUUGGUUUUAGGGUGGCUUUGGGGUGAUUUGGGGUUGUUUGGAAGCGGUUUUGGGGUGGUUUUGGGGUGGUUAUAGGGUGACUUUGGCACUUCGAGGCUGUUUUGGGGCCAGCUGUGGGUGUUUGGGGGCCGUUUUAGGGACUCUUCGCCCCCCCCCCCCUUGCAGCAGUUCUUAGGGUCAAGCGCUCACCCCACACCUCCGAUCCCAUUGGGGUCGGGGGGGAGAAAUUAAGGCACGGCCCUAUAUGGCCCUGCAAUGCACCCUAUGGCCGAUAGGGGGCGCUCGGCGUCCAUAUGGGAUGCAGGGAGCAGGAUAUAGGAUGCAAUGUGCGGGAUAUGGGGUAUGGGGUAUGGGGUAUGGGAUAUAGGAUAUGGGAUAUAGGAUAUGGGAUAUAGGAUAUGGGAUAUAGGGUGCAGCACAGAGGGCUUAAGAGUGGGGUGGAUUUGGGGGAUGCUGUGUGCCACCCCUCCGGCCCUAUAGGGUGGUCCCUAAGGAGCACCAUACUCCAUCCCAUAUAGGGCAAUACCCCAUCCUCUAUGGGAACCAAUCCCCUACCCCGACCCCACCCCAAAUAGGAUUGUGUCCCAUCCAUACCCCACUCCAUAGAGGACAAUACCCCAUCCCUUACCCCAUCCCAUAUAGGGAGGAUGCCUCAUCCCAUAUGGGACACAAUCCCCUUCCCCAACCCCAUAUAGGACCACACCCCACCCUUUACCCCACCCCAUAUGGGAUCAUCCCCCACCCUUUACUUUAUCCCAUAUGGGGCCUGUACCCCAUCCAUACCCCACCCCAUAUGAAGGGGAUGCCCCAUCUGUAACCCCACCCCAUAUAGGACCGCACCCCAUAUGGGACCGCACCCCAUUCAUACCCCACCCCAUCCCUUACCCCAUCCCAUAUAGGGGAGAUGUCCCACCCCAUAUAGGGCCAUGCCCCACCCCAUAUAGGGGAGAUGCUCCACCCCAUAUAGGGGGGGAAGCCUCAUCCCAUAUAGGACCAUACCCCAAACCAUAUAGGGGAGAUGCCUCAUCCCAUAUAGGAUCAUACCCCACCCCAUAUAGGACCACACCCCACCCCAUAUAGGGGAGAAGCCUCAUCCCAUAUAGGACUAUACCCCACCCCAUAUAGGGGAGAAGCCUCAUCCCAUAUAGGGGAGAUGCCUCAUCCCAUAUAAAACCGUACCCCACCCCAUAUAGGACCAUAUGCCACCCCAUAUAGGGGGGAAGCUUUAUCCCAUAUAGGACCAUGCCCCAUCCCAUAUAGGGGGGAAGCCUCAUCCCAUAUAGGAUCAUACCCCAUCCCAUAUAGGGGAGAUGUCCCACCCCAUAUAGGACCGUACCCAACUCCAUAUAGGACCAUAGCGCA
ensembl:lncRNA